AUAGACUUUUCAGUGCCAGGCAACCAUUGCGCUGUAGAGAAGUGGAACAACAUUCAUGGUACUGCUAUUGUUAAUCGAAAGAACUUUCUUUUGUUAACAUGGUACCCACUAACGUGUGCAUAUGCAUUUUUCUCCUGUAGUCCUAGAGGGAUAAAGACACAUAUAAUUACGAUGGAGGUGACAGGCCUGAAAAUGUGAGAAUUGAAGCAAUACAUUCCCUUGUAUAUAUGUUUUCUCUUUUGAAAUAUCUCAAUAGUUUUCCAAUUUGUUUCCUGUAAAUCUCAUAUUUUAAUACUCCUUAGACCUUAGUAAUGCAUAGGUGUAAUAUUUGUUGAUAUUGCAAUUUUGAAGGAUCUGCUUUUCUUGUAUAGAUCUAUUUUUUUAAUCUUGAAGGCAGUACGAGAGGCCCUAAUGACAUAUAUACAGUACUAACAAGAAUAUGGGGGCUUUCAUAACUUGAGGUAGCUUCCAUCUUCUUGUUGUGUAUUUAUUUUUCUUAGAUGAAAAUCUUACACCAAGAAGUGGGGUCUCUCAGAAAAUUAUCAUUGUUAUUCUCCUUUUCAUUGUUUGGGCUUUUUUUCUCAAUAUAUGCUUCUACAAAAAAAAUGUAGGUCGGCCCCAUGUUGCCACCGUGGCCGGUGACUCGGGUGGAUCCAAUCCCCCCGGCCUCCAGGGUCAUUGUGCCCUCUCUCCAUUACCUCCUUCGUCGCUGGAGGAUGCUGACGGGCUAAGCCUAGGGGGUCGACGAUGAUGGCGGAGGCUCCUGCCUUCACUGCAUCGGUGGAUCACGCGGAAUCUCUGGGCACAUGGAGCAUUGCCAAAACCAGCACCAGGGUGGCGCUCGGCUGACUCCCGACGUUGGUUCCACACAAACACAUGGGGAGGGGAACUAUAUGUUACAAUCUGAAAAUGGCUAAGGAGACAUCAGAUCUACCUUCUUGGCUCGGAGGGUGUCAUGGGUGGCGCACAACUCCCCCCUAUCGACAGAAACACAUGGGGAGGGGAACAGAACAGAGAGCGGGGCGGUUGGCGGGGGACUCCUCGGCGGUCCGUGGGGAAAUACAAUGUGAAGAAGAGAGUGCGACAUGACGAAGGUGAGAUGGGCGUUAUCUGGUUUCAAUGGAGAGGGCUCCAGUGAAAAAUGUCCCGUUAUGGCGGGAAACGAGUGGGGAGGUGAGGGUUCGGCAGGGAAAGAGAAGGGUGCGUCGUGGGUGUGGUUUUUUUUAAUUUGUUCGGCGCGCACUUGUUAGAGAUAACAUGGCCAAUAGUCUGGAUAACCAUAUUUCUUCCUCACAUAUGGAUAUGCAUGGAUUUGAAGAUACCCUAUUCUCGAGACGGUUGAAUUUUGGGGAUCCUGUUAGAUGUUCGUUUGAUGUACGUUCACACUCGAACGUAGGAGGGAGAAAUGAGCUUCCACUUUAGAAUUUAAUUAUUUUUUUGAUUUAUUUAUAUGCAUUGUAGUCCGUAGCAACGCACGGGCAUUCUACUGGACUGACAUAAAGUCAGUGAGUUCAAAAUUUCCAUGUUUAGUUUUGACUGAUGUUAUGGUUCUUCAUUGAGUUUUGUUCCAGGUAUUUACCUAGAUCCUUGAAAUGCUAUUCGUAUUGGCCUGAAUGCAGUUGAAUUCUGAAUCAUAAACAAGCUGGGAGAUUUGUCUUCCACAUAGUAGGUGCUGAUGCUUAUGAUUUUCUUCAAAAAAGAUAUGGGAAAGGCUAACCCAAUAUUUUAGUUUUCAUUAUGAGGACCAUGUACAUAAUCGACCAUAUAGUUCAAAAAAGAUCUAUUGGUGAAGGUUUGUUUGAGUUCCACUAUUUCAGUUCACACAUGUACAUGUUCUGUAUUUUUUGCAGUUUUUAGUGCAUGCUCGGAGAACAAGAUAAGAGGAGAGGCUUGAAUCUUGAGAUGACAAGGGUAGUCACCUGCUGCGACUAAAGGUUCAGUUUCAUACUUCUGAUGAUAUUGUUCGGAUGAUUGCCCUUGUACUAUUCUUUUUAGUACGUACUAAAAUAUCUUGUUGUACGAAAAUCUGAUUUCUACUAAAACUUUGUCAAGUGGCUCAUUUUUCUUGUACUAAUAUCUGAAUUUUUUUACUGAUUACUGAAAUGUACCUUGUUACUAAAACUUCAUAGGAAGGAGGUCAAUGAAGCAAAAGGCACGAAAAGGAAGGAGCAGCGCCACAGGGACGAUGUUGUCGGCAGCGCUUUGGAAGGAUUCGCUCCAGAGAAGUUACGGUAGUCGGCCAUCGCCCAGGGGAAGCGGGGAGGAUGUCGUUCGAAACGCCUGGGUCUAGAGGAGUGUGUCCAGGUGGUGGCCGAGGAUGGCGACGAGCAAUUGGGUUGAGCAUUUGUCAACGUGAUGGUGUCGUUGCUAAAG
rnacentral:lncRNA from 1 species